UGUUGACGUCUGGUUACACAUUGGUGCCUUGGCUCUUCAGCUCAAAAGGAUGACACCCGCUGUCAUGACACACAAGGAUUAAGGUGGUGGGUGCAGCCAGCCCAGGUGAGGGUGAUGGAGGGAUGAAAGUACAUCAGGUUUGAGCAAGAACUCUUGCUUGACAGGGGGAACCCUGGGUGUCCUCGUUGAAAUCCAUCAGGAUGCAGUCAAUAGCACCGUGGGUCAGUCCGUGCUCCUGCCCGUCUCCUACAGAUUUGAUGGUGCCCUGAGGAAGAGCUGCAGCUCAGGCAGGACCCUUACAGUGAUUCCUGGGUGAUGCCUGGGCCACGUUAAAUGUGGGAAACUCUUUUUGAGGCUGCUCGUCCUUGUGUCACCUGCCCUGGUUUUUCUCUUGCUGGUGGAGCAGCCCCAGGGGCUGAUGAGUGUUUGACACUGCGGCACCUCCCGCUCACUUUGCAUAAGUAAACGUGCUGUGCCCGAGAAAUGCUGCUGAGGAGGCAGAGGCCCAUGGUUUCCCCAGUAUAAAAUAGUCUUCUGAUGGCCCCACACGCCUGGCACAUCUUUCCUUCAAGGGAGGUGGCAUGUGCUUCAGCUCGUGCCCAGCCCCAGGGGCUGCCCCACUGCAAACCCGUCCCUGCACAGCCCCGGGCAGCAGCAGCCACCCCGACCUGCCCAUGGGGACACGGUAGAGAGCGCGUGGUCCCCCACCCUCUGUUCCUGCAGGGCAGCAGGGCCAGAGCUGGGGUCUCACACAGGUGCAUCCCACCCUGGCACGUUCCCCGUGUGCCAGUGAUGAUGUGGACGCCUCCCCAGCAGCACUUGGUGUCCCUCCUCCUCCCCUAGAUCAGCUCUCCAUCCCGGUGAGGGGAAAGUGCCCUGUUUGUUGUCAACCAGAUACCUGUUCCUCCAGUGCAGGAUUGCUCCGGACGCUCAAACACCCCUCUCCCCAUUCAAUACCCUCUCUCCAGUCAAAUAAACUCCUCCAACAGCUUCUUCCCCACAAGAGCAAAGGCUGCAUCUGCAGCAUCACUUUGGGCUGUUCCAGCAGCCAAGCAAGAGGGGAAAUAAUUUUCCAAAUCUUGCAGCAAGCCCAGGGUGAUCAGAACACCUCAGUAUGGGGCUACCAGGGACCAGAAUCUGCUUUUGCUGAGUGUUUGCUGAUCAUUCUCUGAAGGUAAAGGAGGGGGCAUGUGGGCACCCCUUGGCAUUGUCAAUGUACUAUAAACCAUGCUGAGGUUUCCACUGUGUGUGAACAGGCGAGAGAAGGAGCCCCAACACGUCUCGUAGUGCUGUUGCAGCCAAGACGGCUGCAGAGGUUCGUAGCCCCAUCCCCACCGCAGCCCUCCCGACACCAACCCCCGUCUCACGUCAUGGCCAUGCAGCUGUGGUCAGCUCUGAACAGCAGCGACCAAGAUCAACCAGACUGAUGGGGCUCCGCUUCCCCUCCAGCUGCCUCUUGGAAGGGGGGUUGCUGCAUGCAAGAGGCUCCAGACCCAGCACCUGGCCCCCACCCUCACUAACGAGGCGCUGGCAAUCAGUAACUUGGGGAGCAGGAGCUGUGGAGAGGUGCAGCCCCGAGGAGCUGACGUGGGGGCACAGGGGGCUGGUGGUUCCCUGGGUCAGAGUUGUCUCCUUGCUCCCAUGUUUGCAACUCACAUUUCUGCUUCCCAGGCUUCCCGUUUUUGCUUCUGCUCCCCAACACAGCCACCGCCACUUCUGGGCUCCCCCAGGCCCUGCUCUGGGGGGAGCACAUCCCUCUGUGCAGCCCCAGAGCCUCCUCUUAGCCCUGCCCGCACCCUGCCUGCACCCUGCCUGCACCCUGCCCGCACCCUGCCUGCACCCUGUCCCGCACCCUGUCCCUACCCUGCCUGCACCCUGCCUGCACCCUGCCCGCACCCUGCCUGCACCCUGCCCGCACCCUGCCUGCACCCUGCCCGCACCCUGCCUGCACCCUGCCUGCACCCUACCUGCACCCUUCCCGCCCUGCCUGCACAGCCAGGGCAUAGGCAGCUCCCCUGUCCUGCACGGAACCUGCCUGUGGAUUUGCACCUCUGGCUGGGAGCUUUGCAAACCCUUUUUGCCUGGGCGAGGACAAGCAGCAAUCAGGGCAAGGAAGUGGAGCCGGCUGCUCCUGGGACCCCAGCGGCCAAGCCGGGCUGGCCUUGGGCUGGAAUCCCCCUCUUCCCUCUUCCACCACCAGCACUCGUAGCAGCUCAGGAACUGCAAUUGCAGAGCACAGGAAGAAAGCCUGGGCUCGCCCGCUCGCAAAUAAACCCCACAGCACGCAGGGGACUGAGCAAGAGUCACCGACUUCCUCCCCUGCCGAGGCGACAGCUCGGAGGUGCUCGCUGGCCGCCUCGGCACAGAGCCUGGUGGCUCCAACCCCAUGCCGGAGGUGGGGUGACCAGCUGGCCAGAGCUCCCACGCCAGCUCCCCUGCCAGGGCUGGCCCCCAGCACCCAGAGCAGAUGUCAUCCGGCCAGUGCUGCUGGAGCCUCGGCUCCCUCCUGCUGCUCCUGGGGGGAACCCUGGGUGUCCUCGUUGAAAUCCAUCAGGAUGCAGUCAAUGGCACCGUGGGUCAGUCCGUGCUCCUGCCCGUCUCCUACAGAUUUUAUGGUGCCCCUUGCUUCCCAGUAGCAAUUUCCUGGUCAUUCAUUAACAGCCUGGACAAACUCGCCACCUGCACAGUGCAGAACUGCUCCCUGGGUGCCGGGGGUGCUCCCAGCAGCUGCUCUGCAAAUUGUUUCCCUGAGCCUACAAACCACAGCCGUGCUGAGCUCUUCCCAGAGAACGGGUCCCUGCUGCUGCGGGACCUGCAGCUCAGCGACAGCGGGGUGUACAGAGUCACCUUCGGGCCGUCACCCCAAACCAGGAACAUCUUGCUGACCCUGCACGAGCAGCUUGUCACCCCUCAGCAUCCAGGUGAGGCAGACACUGUGGAGCAAGACUACAUCCGUUACUGUAUAAUUGGAAUUUGUUCUUUAAUCUCCAUUCUUCUGCUACUCCUGCUCUUCUACUGCAUAUGGCGCCGGGGUGCAGCUGAGAAGCAGAAGAGAAGAGUCAUUAAACAACAUCAGGUCUCAAGUGUGGAGGAGUCCCAUAUGGACAGCACUGCGUGGAGGGACGUGGCAACCAUUUAUGCCAGAAUUGGAGACAGGUUUGAACAGCCACAGCCAAGACCAACAUCAGAGCCUGUGUAUGCAUCCGUAACUUCUCCUCAUGCACCAGGACUGGACACUAGGCCCUUCCAUCACCCGGUUUGACUGUGGGAGCUGCCUCAUGUGGGAGCUUUGCAGAAGGUGGUCAUGCCUCAAACCAAAGAGGUUGUUUUUGUCACUGACGCUGCACCCUCAGGGCUCCCCCUCCAGCAGCUCCACACGCUGAGCCCAGGUUGUAAAGGAUUUGGAGCAACAGAGUUCAGAAAGGCAUUAGUUUGCCUUGAGCUGCAGUCUCUCUUCAAUUUGAGAGACAAGCUGGUUUUAGUUUCUCCUUGAGACUUCCUGAGAGCACAAAGACAACCAGCAUAAGACGAAGAUGCUUAAGGCAAAGGCAAAUCAACAGUUUGUCCAUGGGAAGCUUGCUUCCAUGGACUCACCUUAAUUUGAGGGGUAACAGAGAGCAUUAAAUGGAUUUUAAUCAUGUGUCUCAGGUUCACUACCAGUAGUCUUGUCACAUUAAAAGAAUGUAUGAAGA